rnacentral:pre_miRNA from 1 species
UAUGUACUCCCUCCGUUCCUAAAUAUAAGUAUUUUUAGAGGAUUUCAUAGGGGACUACAUACGGAUGUAUAUAGACAUACUUUAGAAUAUAGAUUCACUAAUUUUGCUCCGUAUGUAGUCCCCUAGUGAAAUAUCUAAAAGACUUAUAUUUAGGAACGGAGGGAGUAUGUA